rnacentral:rRNA from 1 species
AAUCAACGCUGGCGGCGUGCCUCAGACAUGCAAGUCGAACGAUUAAAGCUCCCUUCGGGGAGUGCAUAAAGUGGCGCACGGGUGAGUAACACGUAAGUAAUCUACCUUCGAGUGGGGAAUAACGUUCGGAAACGAACGCUAAUACCGCAUAACGCAGCGGCAUCGCAAGAUGACAGUUGUUAAAGGAGCAAUCCGCUUGAAGAGGAGCUUGCGGCAGAUUAGGUAGUUGGUAAGGUAAUGGCUUACCAAGCCUGCGAUCUGUAUCCGGUCUAAGAGGACGGUCGGACACACUGACACUGAAUAACGGGUCAGACUCCUACGGGAGGCAGCAGUCGGGAAUUUUGGGCAAUGGGCGAAAGCCUGACCCAGCAACGCCGCGUGAAGGAUGAAGUAUUUCGGUAUGUAAACUUCGAAAGAAUGGGAAGAAUCAAUGACGGUACCAUUUAUAAGCUCCGGCUAACUACGUGCCAGCCGCCGCAGUAAGAC